rnacentral:lncRNA from 1 species
UGGUCAUCCAAUCAGAGCUGUGAUACAGGAUGGCAUCUCUCUUAAAGGCUAUAAGCUAAUUCUGCAAAAGAGAGACAAAAACAAUGUAUGUCAAUACUGGGAGUUUGGAAAUAAUGGCUCUAUCCGCUCUAAGGCUUACCCUGAGUUUGUCCUGACCUACCUAGAGGAGCUAAAUGGAAGAGAAGAGGUGACCCAGACGGAAUACCACACACACCAUGGGGCCCAGUCUGCAGUUCAUCGCGAGGCAGAGAGCAAUUCAGCAGAAGAGGUCACUGUAUCAAGCCAGAGGUUCUGCAAAAUCAUGUCUGUGGCUGCAAUGAGAAGCAACUUUCAUCAGGACCUUUGGAUGCCCACUUAAUGCCUGAAGGUUCCUUCAGGGAAAAUAGGCAGCUGACAGUGGCACUGAUAAGG